UGUAUUUUUACAUCCACAUUUGUGUGUUGUUGCUUACUCUCAAGAACAAUCACAAAAAACAAACCCUUUAAUUAGCAAAGGGACAAAGAGUCAACAGAGUUAGAAACCUGGUUAUACUUCUACCUCUUUUAAGCAAUUUUGCUCAUCAUUUGGCAUUACUUACAUAACAGGAAUCCCAUACAAUCCACAGGGAAAAGGCAUAGUUGAAAGAGCUCAUCAAACUAUUAAAAUGCACUUAUUAAAGCAAAAAGAGGGAAUUGGGAAGGGGUAUAUAUCCCCCAAAGAUAAACUUAAAAUAACCCUUUUUACUCUAAACUUUUAAAAUUUGGAUUCAUCAGGGCUUAGUGCUGCGGAAAGGCAUAUGUAUCCAAAAAAUGUCAUAAGCCCAAGGUACUUUGGAAGGAUAUUCUAACAGGACAAUGGAAAGGUCCUGACCCAGUGAUUGUCUGGAGUCAGGGUUCUGUUUGUGUGUUUCCACAGGGAGAACAGCGGCCGAUUUGGAUUCCAGAGAGACUAACCAAAGCGAUUUCUACAGACCAAAAAGAAGAUGACUUGGCUCAAAUCCAUAACAACUGAUAUCCAGAGCUCCAUCUUGGCUAUUCUUACAUCUGCCACAGUGGUUCUCCCACACCUGGAGGCUAAUGAAUAAUGAACACCAUUAAAGCCUAUUUCAAAUGUGAAAAACCUUGGGGCUUGCUUGUGGGAAUACCUUCAGACCCAUUAUGCAAGUUGCAGGAAAAAGGAUGGGAUAUCCAAAGAAGAGUCAAACCCAGGUGGUAACCGGGAUGUCUUUUUCAAUAUCUAUUUUAUUAUUGCCUUUUCCCACAUCAUGAUGUUCUAUUUUAUUUUUUGAGCUCAUACAGACCUAGGUUAAUGUUUUUCUGAUCAUUUCUAUUUUUUGACUGUAGAGUUUUUAAACAUUGCAAUGGAGAUUUCACCUGUAAAAAGCUACAAGGCCUUUACUAUUAUGUUAUGUGUUGUAUGUAUUGUGUUAUGUGUGCACACUUGUGUUUUGUGUUGUAUGUCUGUAUGUGCAUAUGUCCAUAUAUCAUAUAUGAGGAGCGCUCAUGUAUGAUAUUUGGAUCCCGAGUCCGGGAUCUUGGCUGAACAGCGGGUGGCGGAAGGCAGGAGCCCAGGCAGGGCCGGGGGCAGUGCGGGAGUGGCCCGCAGGUCCAGUGCCAGCACAGGUGUCCGCUGCCCGUGGGUCCUUCGGUGCAUGCCAGAGCCCCACCCGAGCAGCCGGGCUCUGGAGCUGAGGAGCCAGGGUGACCCGCAUGCGCUCAGCAGGACCUGGAGGCCAUAUGGGCAGGGAGCGCGCCGGUGCCCCUGCGGCCAGCACAGCCCAGGAGCCCCGCCGCCGGUUAGGCAGGCCUGGGGGAAGAGCACGCCUGAUCAGACCACCUCGGAGAGCCCAGCAAGCAGGACAAGAGUCCUCCCGCCCGAGGCCCACGUCGGAGCUGAGGUGCCAGCCACGCAGCGUGGCAUCGGAUGCCCAGCUGGACACCAAGGCUUUGCUACUGUGGCGGAGGACAAGGGUGGGCGCUGGUGGAGGCCACUGGCCGUGCGGGCCCCUCUCCUCCGCCCCUCGGGUGUCUCCCCAGACCUCAGCGUAUGGCCUGGACUCCUGCGGCAGAGUGCUGGCCCUCCUGAGGGCACCCAGUGCAGGGGACUGGGGCACAGGCACCGCCCUGCUGGAGGGGUCAGGGCUCCUGGAAGCGGGAAGCUCUGCCCCGCCUGCUGUGCUGGGGGCGGCUUCAGGUCCUCGCCUCUGCUUGCCACCCUCUGGGUUAUCCAGCUUCAUCCGGACGGAUGGGUGUGAAGCGACGUCCCCUGCUGACUUCUGUUCCUCCACUGAUGACAAGCGAGGGGCCUCUUUCGCGCUGCCGGACAACUGGAGGGCCUCUUCUGUGAAGGGCCUGUUCACGAUUUUGCUGAUGUUUCUUUGGGGGUCUCUGCCUUUUCUUCUCCAGUUCUAGACUCUUCACAGUUCUGGAUUUGAAUGCUUUGUGUCGUAGCCAUUGCAAAGACCUCCUCCCACUCCGCUUUUCAUUGUCGAAAAGGUUCCGGUUCCGUUGGAUCAAGAGAAACUCUAGGGGCUGGGGAGGUGGCUCAAGCGGUAACGAGCUCGCCUGGCAUGCGCAGGGCGCUGGGUUCGGUCCUCAGCACCACAUACAAAUAAAAGAUGUUGUGUCCACCGAAAACUGAAAAAUAAAUACUCAAAAUUCUCUCUCUCUCUCUUUUAAAAAAAAAAAGAGAGAACUCUAAAU
rnacentral:lncRNA from 1 species